AUGCGCCCCAGCGCUACCCCCCGGGCCCGACCCCGGCCCCCUGCCCUGGUCCUGACCCCGGGACCAGAGUCCCCGACCUUCUUCUCCUUCAGCGGUGAAGACUCUCGUCGACACAGGCCGGGCAGAUCUGUCAGCUUCGAGGCGGAAAAUGGGCCGACGCCAUCCCCCGGCCGCAGCCCCCUGGACUCGCAGGCGAGCCCAGGCCUUGUGCUGCAUGCUGGAGCAGCCACCAGCCAGCGCCGGGAGUCCUUUCUCUACCGCUCCGACAGCGACUAUGACAUGUCACCCAAGACCAUGUCCCGCAACUCCUCGGUCGCCAGCGAGGCGCAUGCGGAGGACCUCAUUGUAACGCCCUUUGCCCAGGUGCUGGCCAGUCUCCGAAGUGUCCGAAGCAACUUCUCACUCCUGACCAAUGUGCCCAUUCCUAGCCACAAGCGGUCCCCGCUGGGAGGCCCCACCCCCGUCUGCAAGGCCACACUAUCAGAGGAGACAUGUCAGCAGCUGGCCCGGGAGACUUUGGAGGAGCUGGACUGGUGCCUGGAGCAGCUGGAGACCAUGCAGACCUACCGCUCUGUCAGCGAGAUGGCCUCGCAUAAGGUGUGUGGACGGGUCUAGUGGGUGGGACUUCUGAUGGACCAACCGCUAGGCAGGAGUGGUGGGUGGGGCUUCGGGUGGACCAACCUCUAGGCAGGGAUGGAGGGUGGGGCUAUGCGGGGCUGUUUGGUUGGAAGAAUCCCUGGUUGGAGCUAGUCGGGUGGGAUCGCUUACUGGGAAGGGCCUAGGGAAUAUGACCAAGGGUGGAAAAGUGGGCGAGGUCUGUGGGUGGAGCCAAUAAAGAGGUGGGGCUGAUGGGUGGGGACAACCAUUCCAUGAGGUGGGGCGAUUUCCUGGGUAGAGCUGCUGGAAAUGGAGUCUACUGGGUGGGUGAGCCACACAGUGGGUGGGAGCAAUUCCUGGGUAGGCCCCGUGGAGUGAGACCAAGGGCCAAUGUGGGUGGAGCCAACCGAUAGGCGGGGCGGAGGUGGGCAGGGCCAAUUCCUUGGUGCGGUCCAUGA
rnacentral:lncRNA from 1 species